AAUGGAAAGGAAAAGAAAGAAGAGUGAAGAAGGUGAAAUUGAGGAAGCGAGCUUCGAUGUUUCGGGUUUGAAUUAUGAUUCUGAUGAGCACAAUGGAGAUGGUAAGAUUGAAGAGAGUGUGAAGAAUAAGCAAUUCGAAUGCCAAUAGCACCGUCACUGGUGGAGGUGGUGGUGAUCAAAAGGGGAAGAAGAAGGGGAUGCCGGCAAAGAAUUUGAUGGCUGAGAGAAGGAGAAGGAAGAGGCUUAAUGAUAGACUCUACAUGCUUAGAUCUGUUGUCCCCAAGAUUAGCAAGAUGGAUAGAGCUUCAAUACUUGGGGAUGCCAUUGAUUAUUUAAAGGAGCUUCUGCAAAGGAUCAAUGAUCUUCAUAAUGAAUUGGAGUCAACCCCACCUGGUCCUUUGUUGCCUCAAUCUACAAGUAUUCAUCCGGUGACUCCGACACCUCCCGC
rnacentral:misc_RNA from 1 species